GACGAACGCUGGCGGCGUGCUUAACACAUGCAAGUCGAACGGAAAGGCCCCUUUGGGGGUACUCGAGUGGCGCACGGGUGAGUAACACGUGAGUAACCUGCCCUUGACUUCGGGAUAACUUCAGGAAACUGGGGCUAAUACCGGAUAGGAAUCCUUGCUGCAUGGUGGGGGUUGGAAAGCUUCGGCGGUUUUGGAUGGACUCGCGGCUUAUCAGCUUGUUGGUGGGGUAGUGGCUUACCAAGGCUUUGACGGGUAGCCGGCCUGAGAGGGCGACCGGCCACAGUGGGACUGAGAUACGGCCCAGACUCCUACGGGAGGCAGCAGUGGGGAAUAUUGCACAAUGGGCGGAAGCCUGAUGCAGCAACGCCGCGUGCGGGAUGACGGCCUUCGGGUUGUAAACCGCUUUCAGCAGGGGCGAAGCUUGUGGUGACGGUACCUGCAGAAGAAGCACCGGCUAACUACGUG
rnacentral:rRNA from 1 species